ACAAAUGCAAAGAAAGAGAAGAGUACUCCAUACAUCAGCGAUACAGAGAGAAAACGGUCGGUGCGAGUUUUUGAGCGAGGUGGAGGAAGGUAGCUCUGGAGCAGCAUUGGGGAAGCUUUCGGAAUGAAAGUGAGUAGUCGAUGCCGGAUGCACCCGUUAUUGUGCAGCAAUGAGUGCGGUGUUUNNNNNAAUGAGUGCGGUGUUUCAGCAGGCGUUGAUUUUAUCCAGCCAGAGCACCGAAUUCAGGUGGUAACACGGACUAUUUGGUUCGCCCUGAGC
rnacentral:ncRNA from 1 species